AAAUGAAUAGACGGGGGCCCGCACAAGCGGAGGAGCAUGUGGUUUAAUUCGAUGAUACGCGAGGAACCUUACCUGGGUUAGAACGCAGAACGACGUUUCGGGAAACCGGAAUUCUCUUCGGAGCGAUCUGCGAGGUGCUGCAUGGUUGUCGUCAGCUCGUGCCGUGAGGUGUCGGGUUAAGUCCCAUAACGAGCGCAACCCCUAUUCUUAGUUGCCAUCAGGUAAUGCUGGGGACUCUAAGAAAACUGCCUACGCAAGUAGUGAGGAAGGCGGGGAUGACGUCAAAUCAGCACGGCCCUUAUGUCCAGGGCUACACACGUGCUACAAUGGCCGGUACAGAGGGCAGCCACCUGGUGACAGGGAGCAAAUCUCCAAAGCCGGUCUCAGUUCGGAUCGAAGUCUGCAACUCGACUUCGUGAAGUUGGAUUCGCUAGUAAUCGUAUAUCAGCAACGAUACGGUGAAUACGUUCCCGGGCCUUGUACACACCGCCCGU
rnacentral:rRNA from 1 species